rnacentral:rRNA from 1 species
CCAGACUCCUACGGGAGGCAGCAGUGGGGAAUAUUGGGCAAUGGGCGAAAGCCUGACCCAGCGACGCCGCGUGAGGGAAGAAGGUCUUCGGAUUGUAAACCCCUUUCAGCAGGGAAGAAGAAAGUGACGGUACCUGCAGAAGAAGUCACGGCUAACUACGUGCCAGCAGCCGCGGUAAUACGUAGGGGGCAAGCGUUAUCCGGAAUUACUGGGUGUAAAGGGAGCGCAGACGGCAGUGCAAGUCUGGAGUGAAAGCCCGUGGCUUAACCACGGGACUGCUCUGGAAACUGUGCAGCUAGAGUGCAGGAGAGGCAGGCGGAAUUCCUAGUGUAGCGGUGAAAUGCGUAGAUAUUAGGAGGAACACCAGUGGCGAAGGCGACUUUCUGGACAGUAACUGACGUUGAGGCACGAAAGUGUGGGGAGCAAACAGGAUUAGAUACCCCCGUAA